rnacentral:rRNA from 1 species
AUUGAACGCUGGCGGCAUGCCUUACACAUGCAAGUCGAACGGCAGCACGGGUGCUUGCACCUGGUGGCGAGUGGCGAACGGGUGAGUAAUACAUCGGAACAUGUCCUGUAGUGGGGGAUAGCCCGGCGAAAGCCGGAUUAAUACCGCAUACGAUCUACGGAUGAAAGCGGGGGACCUUCGGGCCUCGCGCUAUAGGGUUGGCCGAUGGCUGAUUAGCUAGCUGGUGGGGUAAAGGCCUACCAAGGCGACGAUCAGUAGCUGUUCUGAGAGGACGACCAGCCACACUGGUACUAGGACACGGCCCAGACUCCUACGGGAGGCAGCAGUGGGGAAUUUUGGACAAUGGGCGAAAGCCUGAUCCAGCAAUGCCGCGUGUGUGAAGAAGGCCUUCGGGUUGUAAAGCACUUUUGUCCGGAAAGAAAUCCUUGGCCCUAAUACGGUCGGGGGAUGACGGUACCGGAAGAAUAAGCACCGGCUAACUACGUG